rnacentral:rRNA from 1 species
GAUGAACGCUGGCGGCGUGCCUAAUACAUGCAAGUCGAGCGAACAGACGAGGAGCUUGCUCCUCUGACGUUAGCGGCGGACGGGUGAGUAACACGUGGAUAACCUACCUAUAAGACUGGGAUAACUUCGGGAAACCGGAGCUAAUACCGGAUAAUAUAUUGAACCGCAUGGUUCAAUAGUGAAAGACGGUUUUGCUGUCACUUAUAGAUGGAUCCGCGCCGCAUUAGCUAGUUGGUACGGUAACGGCUUACCAAGGCGACGAUGCGUAGCCGACCUGAGAGGGUGAUCGGCCACACUGGAACUGAGACACGGUCCAGACUCCUACGGGAGGCAGCAGUAGGGAAUCGUCCGCAAUGGGCGAAAGCCUGACGGAGCAACGCCGCGUGAGUGAUGAAGGUCUUCGGAUCGUAAAACUCUGUUAUUAGGGAAGAACAAAUGUGUAAGUAACUAUGCACGUCUUGACGGUACCUAAUCAGAAAGCCACGGCUAACUACGUG